rnacentral:rRNA from 1 species
GACCUGACUGCUAUCGGAUUGAUACUAAGCCAUGCUAGUCUUUGUAGUAAUACAAGGCAUACGGCUCAGUAACGCGUAGUCAACCUACCCUAUGGACGGGGAUAAUCUCGGGAAACUGAGCAUAAUACCCGGUAGACCACUUAUCCUGGAAUGGUUAGUGGUUAAAAUGAUUCGUCGCCAUAGGAUGGGACUGCGGCCUAUCAGCUUGUUGGUGAGGUAAUGGCCCACCAAGGCGAUUACAGGUACGGGCUCUGAGAGGAGAAGCCCGGAGAUGGGUACUGAGACAAGGACCCAGGCCCUAUGGGGCGCAGCAGGCGAGAAAACUUUGCAAUGUGCGAAAGCACGACAAGGUUAAUCCGAGUGAUUUCUGCUAAAGGAAUCUUUUGUUAGUUCUAAAAAUACUAGUGAAUAAGGGGUGGGCAAGUUCUGGUGUCAGCCGCCGCGGUAAAACCAGCACCUCAAGUGGUCAGGAGGAUUAUUGGGCCUAAAGCAUCCGUAGCCUGUUCUAUAAGUUUGCGGUUAAAUCUAUACGCUCAACGUAUAGGCUGCUGUAAAUACUAUAGAACUAGGGAGUGGGAGAGGUAGACGGUACUCGGUAGGAAGGGGGUAAAAUCCUUUGAUCUAUUGAUGACCACCUGUGGCGAAGGCGGUCUACCAGAACACGUUCGACGGUGAGGGAUGAAAGCUGGGGGAGCAAACCGGAUUAGAUACCCGGGUAGUCCCAGCUGUAAACGAUGCAGACUCGAUGAUGCAAUGGCAUAGAGCUAUUGCAGUAUCGCAGGGAAGCCGUUAAGUCUGCCGCCUGGGAAGUACGUACGCAAGUAUGAAACUUAAAGGAAUUGGCGGGGGAGCACCACAAGGGGUGAAGCCUGCGGUUCAAUUGGAGUCAACGC